rfam:Bombyx mori DNA, contig: Bm_scaf126_contig38695, strain: p50T/Dazao, build 2, whole genome shotgun sequence.
UGCACUCAAAUUUGUAUGAAGUUGGUACGUUUACCUGCGUUUGCCGCUAGGGGCGCUGUUCCAACUCCAUACAAAUUUUAGUUA